CAGAGUAGGCAUGUGUUUAUUGGUGACGCACGUACACCCUGGUGCAAGGGGGAUCGCUCCACCUAACUUGUACACCAUCAGGAGAAAUCGUGCUAUAGAUAUAGAUCGAACUAAUACAUAAUCAAUAGUUGACAGGAAUUCGGAUACAUAUUCAUUACAUUCCCGAGAGCCCAUUAGCAUGCAGUCCCUCCCCCCCCUUGCGCGUGCGUAGUAGGUCAUGAUGAUGAAGGCUCAUAGUCUUCCUCGCGAAGGCUCGUAGCCUUCCUUGCUGCAAACUUCUGCCCCCAAAGGGGGGGCAUCUCCUGAACCGGUUUCAACUUGCCCUGUAGACAUCUAAUCACCUCCCUGCCAAAUGUUUUUGAGCUGCUCUCCAGUCCUUAUCUUUAUGGCCUUCAUCCUCCUUGAUAUUCCAGACCUAGUGUCUGUGAAAGUGCUUGGAAUCCCUUGUUUUCUAACACUCCUUACAUAAACUAUCUCUAUUUGCUCCUUAUUUCUACUUUGUGAAGCUACUUUCCCUUUUCUUGCUCUGAGGCCCUUCUCUCUAUAACUGCAGGGUCCUGUUCUCACUCUUCACAACCCUGAUGUAUUCUCCCCAUGGCUAAAUUUUGAGAUCCUUAUUAUAACAGCUCUUUUUUUUUGUGCCACAGAAGGAUCUUUUUCUUCACUGUGUUCAUACAUCUACUCUUUGGACAAUUUAUCAAAGUAUAUAUUUUCUGUUAACCUGUUCAUUCAUCUUAGAAAUUUUCUUUUAUCUAUCUAAUUUUCUUUUAAGUAGCUUUAAUACAGAGUAUCUGGAGGAUGUUUUUCAUUUGUAAUUCAGCAAAAUCUUAAUGCAUUCUCUGCCAUGCAUAUUUUUACUACUCUUCAGAAGCCCCAGAAAUCCAGGUCAUAGCAAUAUAUGUAUAGUGAAAGUGUGUACAUAUGCACAUUUUAUACUUUCUUAGCAACUUCUUACUAGUAUGUCUCUAAUUAUACAUUUUUUUUUUUUUUUUUUCCUAUGGGUUCUUGUCUGUCUGUUUUUUAUUUGAUUCCUUUUCAUGUUACAAGGAUUGUUCAGUUGCAUCCUGUGGGAUAGGAAAACAGUUUCUGAUGACAGUGUUCCAAAACCAAUAAAGUAUCAGCUUAGUACUCCUAUUUCUUAUCCUAGUAUUUGUAUCUAUACAUAAAAUGACUAGUGACCAUAUUUUCAUUCACCAAAAACAUACAAGCAAAACAGAAAAACAGAGGAAAGUAUACUACAGUAAACAUAUUCAAGGUCCAAGAAUUUGCCACAAACAAGGAAAAAAUCUCAGAUCUCUUAUCUCCUUUUUCUUAUCUUAAUUACACAAAUACAUGACUUGUAUAUUGCUGGUCAUCAAGGAGUGCAUAGAAUCAUAGAAUCGCUUGGGUUGGAAGGGACCUCAAGGAUCAUCAAGCUUCAGCCCACCUGCCACAUGCAGGGCCACCAACCUACAUAUCCAAUACUAGACCAGGCUGCUCAGGGCCCCAUCCAGCCUGGCCCUUAGCACCUCCAGGGAUGGGGCAUCCACAACCUCUCUGGGCAGCCUGUCUCAUAUUGCUUUGAGAAGAGUGAGGCAAUUUGAGUGCAUGCAGGAGUACCAAACAUAUUGAUGUCAUCCUGACUAUCCCAUUUCCCUUUAAUCCAGAAAGUGAUGGGAAUGUUCCAGGAUUUUUUUACAAAUGUUAUUCCUUAAAUAUAAUCCAAAUGUUUGUUAUCAUAAUGCCAUAACACUUCAUGCAGUAUAUAUCAUACUUAGUCUGGAGAAAAGCAGGCUGAGGGGAAAUCUCAUAACUCUUCCUGCCUGAAAGGUAGGAAGGAGAGUGCUGGUCUUUUUUCUUGGAUGUUAAGUGGUAGAACACAAUGAAAUAGCCUCAAGUUGUGCCAAGGGGGAUUUAGAUUGGAUAUUAAGAAGAAUCUCUUCACAGAAAUGGUGAUAAAGCAUUGGAACAGGUUGCUUAGAGAAGUGGUAGAGUUGCAUCCCUGGUAGUAUUUAAGAGAUGUGAAUUUGGCUCUUAGGGACAAAUUUUUAGUGGCAGAUUUGGUAGUAUUAGGUUGAUGGUUGGACUUGAUUUUAAAGACCUUUUCCAGACUAAUUGAUUAUGUGAUUCUAUGAUUCCAUGAAAAGGAAUGAAUAAUUCCCUCUGUGUCUUCUAGUUCUAGCUUUCUUCAUUUGGGGAGAAACACACAGCAUAUAUUGAUUAUAGAUAUUGUUCCUAGUGCAGUUGGUAAGAUAAAUUAGUGCUAAAUACAUUGUUGAUAUGGAUUCAAUUCUCCAGUUUUCGACUGGGUUACUUACUUGAGAGAAAAAUCUCAGUAAACAGAACUGUUUUCUUGUUUGGGUUCACCUCACUGCUAAAUCUUGAGGCUUUGUAAAGUGUAAUGAACUGUUAAUUUGCAGACUAUAAUGGAUUUACUUUGUUUCCUAUAGCUCACAAUAAGGCAGAGAAAGUUGCACGUUAAUCACAUAACUGUUACUUUACUAAUGCUUUUUUCCCCGUAUUUUAAAUGUGGAAGUAUUUUGCAAUGACUACAGCUAUUAAAAAAAAAAAGAAAAAAAAAAAAGAAAUUAUCAUAAAAUAGGAACAGAUCAAGUUUAUAUCCAAUUUAUUACUAUUUUAUCCUGAGGGACUGAGAUUUUAGUCUACAUUAAAAAUGUUUUAAAUAUUGUGUAGAGGGAAAAGUAUUUAAGGUCCCAGUUCACCAAUCCGUCCCUUUCAGCAAAACACUAAAAAACAUUUGAUUCCUAUUAACUUUAAUGGGUUUAAGCAUGUUUAAAUUUAAUGGACCUAAAGUUGUAACAAAUCAGUGGAUCUAAGGCAGUUUUUUUCUUCUGCAUCUAUUCUUGCCAGACAGAAUCCUGAGCAGUUCACAUAACAGUAAGUUCUAAAAGUCCUCAUGGGGCAAUGUGAGCUUUGUAACUCCUAUCAAUUAUUAUUAUUAUUUUAAUUUAAGGUAGCAGACAGACUUUCUAUUCUAGCUUUUUGGACUGAGAUGAGGCUUUUGGGAGUGAACAAGAUGAAUUAUCCAGUGAAUCCAUCUUGCAUUACUUUGAAUGGAACUUAUUGUCUGAAUGAAGGAAUAUCUCUUCUACGCCACGUGGAUGAUCAAAAUAUUCUUUUUCCAUAAAGGUCUAAAAAUGCUCGGGUUUCAGGCUGAAAUUUGGUGCUUUCUGAGACAUAAAAGGUCAAAAUUUUAGUUAUCAUUUCUUUCAAUAGCAUCAACAUAACAAGAGGCUUUAAAGUGCAACAGUGAUUCUGGUCUGGCCUUAGAUCUAACAGAAGUUACAGAAAACAUUUUUCCACUUUUAGGUUGGUCGUUUUUUUGUUGGUGGUGGUGGAUGUUUUUUUUUUUUUUGUUUGGUUGGUUGGUUUUGUUUGUUUGUUUUUGCUUUUGCUUUUUGUUUUUGUUUUCCUUCUGUCAUGGUUUUAUGAUUUUUGUUAUUGGUAUUCCACAUCAUAACAUCAUGUAAAGCACUGGGAGUUAAAGAGUUAAUGCCUCACUUCAGUGGACUGCUGAUUUUCCAGAUACCUGGUUCUUAGAAAAGAACUACAUACCCAAAGGACUUUGCAUCCAGAAGGAAAGAUAGAACUCCUGGCAAGUCAUGAGACUGGUCUCUUUCUCUUUCUCAUUGCCUGGCAGUGUGUGUGCUCCCCAGCCAUUUUGCCUUCAAUUCAGAGUAAGGCCUUCAAUUUCGGACACUCCUUCUCUCUUCUUUUUUUGUUUUAUUAGCCUCAAUUCCAAUUAUACCAUAUUAUACUGUGUUGUCUUGCAUUCCAAUAUCAUAUUUAGUAAAUUAACUUUCCUCCUCAGAUCAUUGCUGCUGUUAUAUUGUUUAGGCCCAUCUCCAGUCUCACUACCCUUUCCCUUUCUUUCCCUUCCCCUUUUCUCAGGGCAUGAGUCCAUAGAUCCACUACCCCAUUAGUCACAGUACUGAGCCAAACUGGCCCGUAAAUGGUUGACAUUCCCCCCACAUCCCCCCCCCUUUUCAGGCCAGUGGGCCUGUGGGCCUGCUGUCCCACUGUCACGGACACAGAGAGAUCUAGAGAUAACUCCAUGACACCUUCCAUAUUCAUAGACUAUAAGUAAGAAAUUAGAAAUUAGAUUUCUAGCUUAUUGCCUGAGCAUGCUCAAUUCCAUCAAGUCUUACUGAAAAUUUCAUUAUGGUUUCUUUCUGCUGAAUAUAUAGUAUAAGAUACUUUCUGGCCAGAAGUCACUGGUUUAACUAAGCAAUCACAUUAAUGCAAAAAUGCAUAUGCAAAAUGAAUUUGAUCUGUGGAGCACAAUUCCACAGAAUAGUAGGUAGGUUUAAUCUUAAACAGACAAGUGAUUAUUUAAAAAGUGAAAAAUGAAGUGAAGUAAAUAAAUCCCAGUUUUAAGUAAAUAAUGUCUAGUCAUGGAGUCUGAGGAAGGGGUGCAUGUGUAUUUCAAGGCAAGAGAGGUUUUGCAUAGAUUUCUUCCUGGGAAUUCAUUAGGCAUUUCAUUAUUUUAGAUUGGUCACUAACCAAUAAAUUUUCCACUUUUCAUCAGAUAUCUUGACAAAGUGUAUGAAAAUCUCUUGGUAUUUGUCUAAAAUCUAAUCAGGCUUUAGUCAUAUAUAUGUGACACAAAGAAUAAUUUUAAAAACUGUAACAUUUUCAGUUGAUAAGAACCACAUUUGUUGCUGUUUAAGCAAUACAGCUUACAAAAUAUGGCGUACAGAUGGAUUUUUGUUAAUUUUUAUCUUUUUUUUUUUUUUUACAGCAGGUUAGUGUCAUCCCAUCAUUUAAUCCUCUUCUUCUUCUUAAAAAAAAAAAAAAAAGCACUUAUCCACUGCAAUACAUAGAAAUCUGAUUUUUCUAGCUCCAAGAAAACUUUUUUUUUUUUUUUUUUCCCCCGACAUUAGCAUUUAGAAAGUCAUAGAGCUGCUUUUGCACCUUAGGUUUUAUAAUUUAUUUGUUUCUUUAUUUUUCUUAUAGUCCAGUUUUAAUAGAUAGAUUUUUCUUCUAUUAAUGAAGAAUAAAAUAUAAAAUUUAUAUUUCAUUUAUAUUUGCUAUCUAGUUGUCAUUCUUCUGAUUAGCUAAAAUAGCCAAAAUAAUAACUUCAGCUUGAAGGGACCAGCAAGGAUCAUUAAGUCCAGCUCCUGGCUCCACACAGUAUCAUCCAAAAUACAAACUGUGUUUCAGAGAGUGUUAUCCAAAUGCUUCUUAACUCUGGCAAUCUUGAUGUCACAAUCACUUCCCUGGGGAGCCUGUUCCAGUGCCUAGAAUCUUCGUGGGCAAGCUAUAAACUGUAAUGAAGUUUUCCCUCAGUCUCCUCUUCUCUAGGCUGAAUAGACCAGGUGAUUUCAACCACUCUUGCUCUCUAGACACUUCACCAUCUUUGUAGCCCUCCUUUGUAUGCUCUCUCAUAGUUCUCUUUCUUGCAUUGCAGUGCCCAAAACUUCAUUCUGUACUUGAGAUGAAACUGCACGAGCACACCUUUAGACUGACCUGUCAGCCAGUUGUAUUAUGUUGGAUUGCCGAGGUUAGCUGCCUCGGAGCUGUCCCAGCCAGAACCACAGCAACUGAUCAUGAGGUACAGGGGGGUUUCAGCCGGUUCCUUUAUCCAGGGAAUCCUGAGAUAACAGAGCAGUCCGGCAGCUCUAGCGAGAGCGGCUGACAUGAAGUGUGCGUUGCCAGGGCAACGGCUCUGCAUCCACGCCCCCUGCCUAGAAAAAGCUUUGGGGAGGCACCCAGACAGAGAGGAGUCAGUGUGUGAAUCAUGUGGGCCGUUCAGAAGAGGUGAAACGGCACCAAAGUAAAAUUGAAAUACCUAAAGCUCUUUGAAGAAAAGCAGAAUUUCUUAUCAGUAUUUGUUUAUACCUGGGAAGAAAAGGAAAGCUAUUUGUCACCCAGUAUUCAAGAUGACUCUUACUGCCUUAAAUUAAAUAAGUUGAAACUUCACUGAAACAUUGAGUUGACUCCAUGACUCAAAAACAUCAACUCCUAAAUUCUGUGAUGAACAAUAACAUGGAUCAGCUUCAAAGUG
ensembl:lncRNA